rnacentral:rRNA from 1 species
UUUAUUAAAAACAUGGCUUUUUGUAUAUGAUUUAAAGUCAAACCUGCCCAAUGAAUAUUUUAAUGGCCGCAGUAUUUUGACUGUGCAAAGGUAGCAUAAUAAUUAGUUUUUUAAUUGAAAGCUGGAAUGAAAGGUUGGAUAAGAAAAUAUCUGUCUCUGUUUAAGUUAAUUAUAAUUUUAUUUUUAAGUAAAAAAUYUUAAAUGUUAAUAAAAGACGAGAAGACCCUAUAGAGUUUUAUAUUUAUAUAGAUAAAUAAUUUUAGUAUUAAAAAGUUUUAUUUAUUAAAUAUUUAGUUGGGGUGAUUAGAAAAUUUAAAGAACUUUUUUUAUUAUAUUCAUUGAUAAGUGUUUAAAUGAUCCUUUGUAAGAUUAAGAGAUAAAAUUACCUUAGGGAUAACAGCGUAAUUUUUUUUAAGAGUUCUAAUCGAAAAAAAAGGUUGCGACCUCGAUGUUGGAUUAAAAUUUAUUUUUGGUGUAGAAGCUAAAAGUUUAGGUCUGUUCGACCUUUAAAAUUUUACAUG